UUGCCUCGCUUGGUAGUUGUUUCAAUUCAUCGAUUCAAGUGCAGUCAAAGUGGUACCCCCCUCUUUUCUUUCAAUUCUAUUUUUAGACUUGUUGUUUCAGUCCCAUUCCUUUCUCUUUAUUUGUUUGAAUUAGUUUCAUUAUGUUUCGGGUCGUUGAUCAGAGAUUUAAGGUUCAGUGUUAAAAGCAUUUACACUUGGAUCGGCUCUAGCUUGAGUGCUAAUGAUUGAAUCGAAUUUGUUUGAUUAUUUUGGGCUGUUUUGGUCUAGUAUGGAUUCUAUGAUUAUGGUUUGGGCAGUCCAAAACCAAGUGAUUGCUCAGGUUAGGCAUGAGGGUCCGGGGAGGGUAAAAAC
rnacentral:lncRNA from 1 species